UGAGCAAUUCUCAGGAUUGGUCACACAGAAGGGGUGUGGUCAUUUUUUUUUGGUUUUUUAUUUUAUUUUUGCAGGCGACAAUGUUCAUUUCUUUCACAAUUUGCUCUCUAAGGAACCGAAUAUGAAUUUGGCAGAAUUGUGACUCAUCUUGUGCAAUCGCACUGCAAUCCUCCUGACUUCCAAAUGGCGCAAGGCGUCUCUCUCUCUCUCUUUCUCUCUCUCUUUCCCUCGCCAAGCCUCGAUCCCUCAGCGCCGUUUCAGCCCGAGCCAACGCUCGGCUCUCUCGCAGAAAAGAGCAAGAGAGAGAGAACACGAGAGCUGGUUCGGAUUUUCUGUCCGGAUCCAACUGCUGGAACUUGUUUACAGCACAAAGUGUUAUUGUACUCACCAGUUGUUUGUGGAAUUUACCAUCGAGGUCUGACUUCAAUUACGUUCAUGUUAAAAUGGAAAGGGGGGGGGAAGAUAUUUGGCUUUUGUGCAAUAUUCCGGAGGAAAGACUCAGGUGGGCUGCAGUCCAGCUUUAAGGGCUGCUGGGGGUCUUGCACGGUUGAAUACACCUGGACACUUCAGCAGUCAGUGACACUAAAAAAGGAGAGUCGUCGUGAUCCAUGUCUUGUAGCGCCAGGAGUUAACAGAGCAGUGAAGAAAGUAUUCCCACCCUGACGGGGUUGUUUCUGCUUCGUCACUCUUCAAAAUUUCCAAUCGAAUUCAAUAUCAAAUGAGAAUUUCCUUCAUUAAAAGCAGCUAAACCAACUUGCUUUCAAAACCUAACCUGGCCAAAAUAGUUUUAUCUCGACCACAAUGGUGAAUUUCAAAGCACGUGUAAAAGCAUCUCAGUGGAGUUUAAUUGCAAACUUUGAGUAGGCCACCCAAAGGGCUUUUUUUCCCCCCCUUUUUCUUUUUAAAGGUGCUGGUGUGUUUCUAAGAUUUGGUCUGUUGGCUAAUCCAAGUGUGCUUGAGCUAAAUUGAGCAGCGUCACGAUCUCCUUCAGGAUUUUCUCAAAUUUAAUGGCGCCAUCGAACAUUUUUCCAAGGUUUCGUUUUUGCCAAUGUUUUUUAUUCGUUGUUGAAACAUGAGAUGCGGACCUUCGCUGAAGAAAAUGACACCUGCACCACAGAUGUUUUUCUUCGUUCUGUUUUCACCACCUGGACGAUCCAUUGAUGCAACAUGUCGCAGGGUUGUUCCAUGUUUUCUGAAUUUUCGCUGUAACUGUGCAGUACAGAUGUCAGUGACUUCACCUAUUCUCGCAAUUAUUUUGAGUUUUUAAAAUUUGCUUCAUGUUGUCCUGUUGGUCCAGCUUAGUGAGUUUUUUAGGUUUGAGUUUGCUGACAUUAAACAUUGGGAACACAAAUAAAAAGAAAAGGCAGAAAGCUGAACUUGCUUUUAUUCUCCGCUCACACAGCAAUCACUUCUUCUUCUUCUUCUGACGUCAAUUUCAGCUUCAUGUUACAAAAGCUGAAGCUUAAUCCUUUCCACACAACGCCACAUUGACAUUUUUCCCCCCUUUUCUCAGUAGUAAUAGUUACACAGAGUUUUCUUCGGACAGAAAGACAGAAAACGCCCGUCUUGCUCCAAAGUUGCACUGAAAACACUCAAGUAACUCUAAAAGUAUUUAUGAGACAAGUAAAGCUUAGCUUGGCAGAACCACAAGAGCAGUUCCUUCAGUGGUUUGAUUGAUUUCAGAAUGUUUAGCAGCGGAGCAAAGCUUCCUCCGGCGUUUUUAGCUUUCUGUUUUCGUGUCAGCCGUCCAAGAGUUGAUUGUUUCUUCUUGCCACAGAGUGAGAAAUGCCAAAGACACCUCUUUCACCGCCUCCUGUCAGACAGUGCUGCUUUGUUUGGAGCCAUACCACGGUUAACCCCGGUUCUAACGAUUUACAAUUGCAUUUAGAGAGCUUUAUUUUUCUGGUCAUAAUUCUUCUGCCUGUUCAUAGUGCCUAAACAUCUCUAAAGCCAAAAUUUAUGCUAACAACAUCUGGGUCUUCUGCCAACCAUGUGCUGCCCAAAUGGUUGUGACUGUGCAGACUCUUGCUUGCCAACCGACAGUCAUAUAGAGAGAUAGUAUUAGUUUUUAGGCUAACUGGAUAGAUCAAUGCAAUUAACCCAAGGGUAGAUAAGUGUCAGUCUAUAGCAGAAGCUAAUGCUUUACUCUUCUUGUGUUUCAAAGGCUAAAUUCUCUCCCAUCUUGGCAUCAUGUGCAUGCAGACCCGUUCGGACACAAGUUCAUGUUGUUUUGAAGUUGGGAAGAAUGCUUUGUGUUGACUGUGUGACGACCCUACAAAAGUUAGCUCAAAGUUUUGUAAUAAGUGUUGUGCAAAAGUAGUCACAUCCUUUACACUAUUUCAUAUUUUGUGAAAAUGAAUCAGAUAAAUUCAAUGUAUUUUCACGUGACUGGAUGUGAUAGACCAACAGAAAUGAGCAUGUGAUCGUGAAGUGUAGCAACAUUGAUGCAUGGUUUUAAAUAAAAGUGUCAUGUGCAUCUGUAUUCAGCUCUUCUUUAAA